rnacentral:rRNA from 1 species
UGGCGGACGGGUGAGUAAUGUCUGGGGAAACUGCCUGAUGGAGGGGGGUAACUACUGGAAACGGUAGCUAAUACCGCAUAACGUCGCAAGACCAAAGAGGGGGACCUUAGGGCCUCUCGCCAUCGGAUGUGCCCAGAUGGGAUUAGCUAGUAGGUGGGGUAACGGCUCACCUAGGCGACGAUCCCUAGCUGGUCUGAGAGGAUGACCAGCCACACUGGAACUGAGACACGGUCCAG